GACAGAGGCCCCAAGCGUUGGGCGGAUUCACUGGGCUUAAAGCGUGUGUAGGCGGUUGGUUAAGUGUCUUGUGAAAUCCCACGGCUCACCCGUGGAACUGCUGGGCAUACUGGCGAUCUUGGGCCAACUAGGGGCAGCCGGAACAAGCGGUGGAGCGGUGAAAUGCGUAGAUAUCGCUUGGAACGCCAAAGGUGAAAACAGGCUGCUGGGGUUGUGCCGACGCUGAGACACGAAAGCCAGGGGAGCAAACGGG
rnacentral:rRNA from 1 species